GAGGUUUUAGCUUAAUUAAAGUAUUUGAGUUGCAUUCAAAAGAUGUGGAGUAGAGUUCUACAAGCCUUG
rnacentral:tRNA from 1 species